rnacentral:ncRNA from 1 species
UGUUCUCAGGGCGGGGUGAAAGUCCCCACCGGCGGUAAGAGCUUCGGCUCAAGCCCGCGAGCGCUUUCCGGCUUACCGGAAAGGUCAGCAGAUCCGGUGCGAUUCCGGAGCCGACGGUUACAGUCCGGAUGGAAGAGAACG